UCGGUUUAGUGAUUUAUUAUGUUUUUAUAAUUGUAAUUUUUUUUUAAUAUUAAUAGUUAUGUUCUUUAAAUUAAAAGAAUUUGGCGGUAAUUUAAUCUUUCUAGAGGAACCUGUACUGUAAUUGAUAAUCCACGAUUGAUUUCACUUCAUUUUUGUUUAUAUAUCGCUGUCAUUGAAUGUUUUAAAAGAAUAAUUUUCUUAAAGUUUUAUGAAUUUAAUGUUAGGUCAAGAUGUAGCUAUAUUGAAGGAGAUAUGGGUUACAAUAAAUUUAUUUUUGGAUUAAUAUUUUUUAUUUAUUAUGAAAUUGGAUUUAGGUGUAAUUUUUAAAAAAUUUUAAUUUUGAUUUUAGCUCUAAAUUAUGUACACAUCGCCCGUCACUCCCAUUUUAAGUUGGGAUAAGUCGUAACAAAGUAGGCCUACCGGAAGGUGGGCCUGGGUUUCA
rnacentral:rRNA from 1 species